UAAACUUNUUUGUAAGGGAAUAAAAGUGUAGUACGUGUACUAUUUUGCAUGUACCUUACGAAUAAGGAUCGGCUAACUCCGUGCCAGCAGCCGCGGUAAUACGGAGGAUCCGAGCGUUAUCCGGAUUUAUUGGGUUUAAAGGGUGCGCAGGCGGGAGAUUAAGUCGGCGGUGAAAUUUUGCAGCUCAACUGUAAAAGUGCNUUCGAAACUGGUUUCCUUGAGUGUGGAUGAAGUAGGCGGAAUUUGUGGUGUAGCGGUGAAAUGCAUAGAUAUCACGAGGAACUCCGAUUGCGCAGGCAGCUUACUAAACCAUAACUGACGCUCAGGCACGAAGGCGUGGGGAUCAAACAGGAUUAGAUACCCUGGUAGUCCACGCAGUAAACGAUGAUUACUAGCUGUUUGCGAUACAAUGUAAGCGGCUGAGCGAAAGCGUUAAGUAAUCCACCUGGGGAGUACGUUCGCAAGAAUGAAACUCAAAGGAAUUGACGGGGGCCCGCACAAGCGGAGGAACAUGUGGUUUAAUUCGAUGAUACGCGAGGAACCUUACCCGGGCUUGAAAUGCAUCUGACCGGCCUUGAAAGAGGCUUUCCCUUCGGGGCAGAUGUGUAGGUGCUGCAUGGUUGUCGUCAGCUCGUGCCGUGAGGUGUCGGCUUAAGUGCCAUAACGAGCGCAACCCUCAUCAUUAGUUACCAUCAGGUCAAGCUGGGGACUCUAAUGAGACUGCCAUCGUAAGAUGCGAGGAAGGUGGGGAUGACGUCAAAUCAGCACGGCCCUUACGUCCGGGGCGACACACGUGUUACAAUGGGUGGUACAAAGGGCAGCUACCUGGCGACAGGAUGCCAAUCUCCAAAACCACUCUCAGUUCGGAUCGGAGUCUGCAACUCGACUCCGUGAAGCUGGAUUCGCUAGUAAUCGCGCAUCAGCCACGGCGCGGUGAAUACGUUCCCGGGCCUUGUACACACCGCCCGUCAAGCCAUGGAAGCCGGGGGUACCUGAAGUUCNUAACCGUCAAGGAGCGAC
rnacentral:rRNA from 1 species